UGGGCUGUCGCCAAGCGGUAAGGCACCAGGUUUUGAUCCUGGCAUGCGCAGGUUCGAAUCCUGCCAGCCCAGCCA
rnacentral:tRNA from 1 species